rnacentral:rRNA from 1 species
GGUGAGUAAUGUAUCGGAACGUACCCAGUCGUGGGGGAUAACUAUCCGAAAGGAUAGCUAAUACCGCAUACGUCCUGAGGGAGAAAGCGGGGGACCGUAAGGCCUCGCGCGAUUGGAGCGGCCGAUAUCGGAUUAGCUAGUUGGUGAGGUAAAGGCUCACCAAGGCGACGAUCCGUAGCUGGUCUGAGAGGACGACCAGCCACACUGGAACUGAGACACGGUCCAGACUCCUACGGGAGGCAGCAGUGGGGAAUUUUGGACAAUGGGGGCAACCCUGAUCCAGCCAUUCCGCGUGAGUGAAGAAGGCCUUCGGGUUGUAAAGCUCUUUCAGCAGGAACGAAACGGUGGUCCUUAAUACGGGCUACUAAUGACGGUACCUGAAGAAGAAGCACCGGCUAACUACGUGCCAGCAGCCGCGGUAAUACGUAGGGUGCGAGCGUUAAUCGGAAUUACUGGGCGUAAAGCGUGCGCAGGCUGCUCCAUAAGACAGAUGUGAUAUCCCACGGCCUAACCUGGGAACUGCGUUUGUGACUGUGGGACUCGAGUGUGGCAGAGGGGGGUGGAAUUCCACGUGUAGCAGUGAAAUGCGUAGAGAUGUGUAGGAACACCGAUGGCGAAGGCAGCCCUCUGGGUCAACACUGACGCUCAUGCACGAAAGCGUGGGGAGCACACAGGAUUAGAUACCCUGGUAGUCCACGCCCUAAACGAUGCGAACUAGGUGUUGGGGAAGGAGACUUUCUUAGUACCGCAGCUAACGCGUGAAGUUCGCCGCCUGGAGAAGUACAGCUCGCAAGAUCA